CGGAAUCUAAGCCAAGGAGAGAGAAGCCCCAUUAGCAGCAGCAUGCGCAGUCCCUCCCUGCUUACCACCCCACCCCCACCUUCCCUGACAGCACCACUUCCCUAAGCAAGAACCAGAGCAACCUCAUGAAGGAAAACAGGAGUGAGCUCUGGAGGAGCAGCUGCUCUGAGCCUAGCCUGAUUGGUUGCCCAUGUCGCUGGGGCCAUAAGGAAAAUGCUGGGGGAGGAUGUGGUUGGAGUCAGUUGUGAACACAAAGACCCAUGGAAACAAACAGCUCACAGCUUCUUCCUCCUGAGCUUCUCUACUCCAGGCGUCUGGGGCCAACAGGGAAAUCCAGAGGCUACUCACCACUCAGUUGCAUCCGGAUCUACUAUAGGCCAGGUCCUGGCCUUAUUGGAGUUUCCCUGGAGUCUGGCCCACAUGAGGCUCAGUGAAGAUUGGUACUCACAUGGUGGAGCGGGUUGAUGAAGGAGCUCCAGACUCCCAGCUUCCCUGUUCUGACAUAUCUAUCUAUCUAUCCCCAGAACUUGUUGGAUACAUUCCCCAUCCCACUGCCCGGGGCACUCUAUUAGCUCAUUUACUCUUCAGAGCUGCCCUGUGAGGUGGCUGCCAUAUUUCCAUGUUACAGAUGAGGGAACUUGGUAAGAGCCACAGCUACAGCCUCCAAAGCUUAUUAGAUUUGCUCUGCACUGGUGUCCAGAACAUUUCUCUCCUGCUGUUUUCUCAGCCCCUGGCACAGGCAGGGCUUUUAACAAGAAAGUCUAACACCCAAGUUCUCUCAUGCCAAUU